CACAGGACUUCCAGCAAUUUAUAUCAAUAUGUAUGACAACAAUUCCUAAAAAUGUAUGAAAAGACAGUCAAACAUGAAUUCUUUAAGUAGUUGACUUGAGCAAAAUCAGUCUGAUAUGUAUGACAGAUCUCAAACUAUAUGUAACCACUAACAGAGGGGUAUUCAACCCGGGGACUUUUUUGUUCCACAUUAUCCUAUCGAUUAUAAAUUAAUAAAAAUACAAUUUCAGGUUCAAUUUGGUGAGCAGCAACCUUUAUAAUGCUUAGGCCUCAAGCAGUGACCAAAGUUGGAUUAAAGCAACAUGUGAUUAAGGCAUAAUGCCAUAUAGGUCAAGAAACGCAUGUUAUGAUAAAAUAAACACUACUAGGACAAACAAUUCAUGCAGAAAUGAUACUUCCAUUUCCUGCAUCUAAUUAUUUUUAAGCAACAAAGACAAUAUAGUGGUUCGACCCAGAUUCAAUGAAUUGCCUGUAAGAUUAGAUUAAACAAUAAGAACCUAAACAAUUUCACGACUCCUAGUUCAUGAUAGACUGACCGUCAGUGCCAUGAGGUGGAGAAUCGGAGCACACCAAUUAAAUUUCUCUUUUAAUUAUUUCCAUCAAAUGGCAAAGCAAAUACAGCAGCCAUUGUAGACAUGACUAAACACUAGAAUAAUGUGCGGUAUAACAUGAGGCAUGUUUUCACUUCUAAAGAAACGAAGAUGUCAAAUAAAGGAAAAGGGAAAAUGGC
rnacentral:rRNA from 1 species